CAGAGAGUUCAUCGAGUGAAGAACGCAUGAUGGAGGGAAAAAGGUAAGACUUGUUAUAUAAAUAUCAUGUUAAAUUUAGAAUUCUGUUUAUUGACUGACCAUUUAACAGAUACUGUUAAGAUUGCUUUGGGUAAAUAACAAGGCUAACGUUAGUUGUUCACUUUUAAGGUUAACUAAUGUUAGCAAGCAUAUUGAUUUGUGUCGUAAUUAACUUUCAGUACAUUAACUGAGAACUAUUUGAAGGCCUUAACCUAAAAGCACGUUUGUUGUAAACAUUUUUCAUACACUAUAAGGUAAUAAUUAAAACUAAUGUGCUUUAAAGAUUUUCCAGUGUCAUAUUCAUAAUUGAAAAGUUUAAACUUGGAGGUUAUGUUAGUAAUGCUGGCUCCAAGUUCACGCCUGCGUUAGAAUUGGCGUGAUUAUUAACUGUUUAUUUCUUCAGUGGAAUUCGUGCUCCAAAAGACAGUAUAAACAUGUUUUGUUAACGUAAGAGUAAGUUAAUUAAUUUAAUACUAGCCGCUUCUAGUUGUAUAUCACACGUGGCCUAAUGCUGAGUUUAGUAUGUGUACAUUUAUUAAUAUUUUACUUUGCUUCCAUAUAGAUUAAACAAAGAGACAUUCGGCUAUACAGAAGGACAUGGAUAGUGACGCAGACGCUGUAAUCCUAGAAUUACCCGGUUCUUCAUCAUCAAGAGCCUGUGAUGUCCCAGAGCAAAGGAGGACAGAGAGUGUAUUUGUGCCUCAAGAUACCCCAAAUAAAGAAAGUGGAAAGUCUGAAGAGGAGGUAAAGGCAGUGGAAAGAGAACUUUUGGACUGCAUCACUUCUGGCACGGUACCUGGUAAAAAGAAGUGUGAAGACUGCAUCAGGUCAGCGCCUCGAAUCCAUAAGCUCAGAACGUGGGAAUCGGUCAAAUUUUACAAUAACAAUGUACUUACAUUUUAAAUUUACAUUUACAUAAAAAUUGGCCCAUGAGGCAAUUUGUUCCGGCCCUCCAAAUAAUGUGACCAAGACAUCAAAAAUAAAUUUAUUUCAGUUGAAAAACAGCCGCUAUAGUUAUGAAGGGAUGUGCGUUUGUUCAAUAUAGCACGAGCUGCAGAUGAAGACCACGCAGAGAGUGAGUCUCCUGACAAGCGAGUGGCACGAGCAGUUGAAAACAUUUGGAUACUUAAUCUUGAAGGCUUCU